rnacentral:rRNA from 1 species
UACGUAGGGUCCGAGCGUUGUCCGGAAUUAUUGGGCGUAAAGAGCUCGUAGGCGGUGUGUCGCGUCGGCCGUGAAAACCUGCAGCUUAACUGUGGGCUUGCGGUCGAUACGGGCAUCACUGGAGUUCGGCAGGGGAGACUGGAAUUCCUGGUGUAGCGGUGAAAUGCGCAGAUAUCAGGAGGAACACCGGUGGCGAAGGCGGGUCCCUGGGCCGAUACUGACGCUGAGGAGCGAAAGCGUGGGGAGCGAACAGG